rnacentral:rRNA from 1 species
GACAGAGGGGGCAAGCGUUGCUCGGAAUUACUGGGCGUAAAGGACGCGUAGGCGGGAUGGCAAGUCGGUCGUGAAAUCCCUCGGCUCAACUGAGGAUCGUCGAUCGAUACUGCCGUUCUUGAGGAUUGCAGAGGAGACUGGAAUUCCCGGUGUAGCGGUGAAAUGCGUAGAGAUCGGGAGGAACAUCCGUGGCGAAGGCGGCCAUCUGGAUCAACACUGACGCUGAGGCACGAAAGCGUGGGGAGCAAACAGG